UUCACACCGGUAAUCUCAACCCUUUGCUGUCCGGGCUGCGCACCCAGAUCUCAGCUUCUUGCUGUGUUAGUACUGAAAUCUGUGCUCCUCUAUCUAUUAGAAAUGUCACCAACUGACUUUGAGGGCAGGCUGGAAUCAGAACACGUGGGCCGUCGUCGCUCAUCCAUUGAUAACUCCCCUUGCCGGACAGGCAGACCCAGUUGCCUGCCAGCCAUUACUCUUUUUCUUUUUUUUGCUUCAGUCCUGUAUGGGAACUGUCAGGUCCCAGCCUGAGCCGGUGAUUGCACACCUGGUGAGGGGUGCGGCCAGCCCUGCCAGCACAGGUGGAGCCGUUCAGCUGGGGAUUGGAGGGGUGGAGCCCGGCUGCAUCCUUCCCUGGGCUCAUUUAAGGGCUGGUGGCUGAAGGGGCAGCAUCUCUGCCUGGAGCCUGCUUCCUUGGGAGUGCAGGGUGAGCUCUUGUCCUUGGGAAGGGCCUCAUCUCUGGAAUGCUUCAAUUAACCCCAAGAUAAUGCUGGUCAGCUGACUGAGCAUCCUACUUCUGGGAAUGCCUCAAGCUGAUGCCCUUUUCCAUUAAGCUCAAUGGGGUUGAAGGAUUGCCGAGGCUCCUCUAAUGAGUGGCUUAAGCACUGCAAGAUCUACCGGAGCAG